AUGCUACAUUCUAGCUUUCUCCAAUAUCGUGAUGAACAGGAAAUCCUUUUUGGAAAAGCUGGUUCCUAGAGAAAAAAUCAGUCAGCAACAGCAGCAAGGAGCUCAGAAAGCAGCUGCCCACUUAUCUUGUGCACCACCAUAAGUUGACAGAGCACAGACCUGUUUCCCAAAUUCACUGCCAAGGAUGAAGAUCUGGACCCAUCACUGGCCU